rnacentral:rRNA from 1 species
CCGCAAUGGGCGCAAGCCUGACGGAGCAAGACCGCGUGGGGGAGGAAAGCCUUUGGGUUGUAAACCCCUUUUCUCAGGGAAGAAGAAAGUGACGGUACCUGAGGAAUCAGCCUCGGCUAACUCCGUGCCAGCAGCCGCGGUAAUACGGAGGAGGCAAGCGUUAUCCGGAAUGAUUGGGCGUAAAGCGUUCGUAGGUGGCAAUUCAAGUCUGCUGUCAAAGACAGUAGCUCAACUACUGCAAGGCAGUGGAAACUGAAUAGCUAGAGUGCGGUAGGGGCAGAGGGAAUUCCCGGUGUAGCGGGGAAAUGCGUAGAGAUCGGGAAGAACACCGGUGGCGAAAGCGCUCUGCUGGGCCGCAACUGACACUGAGGGACGAAAGCUAGGGGAGCGAAUGGGAUUAGAUACCCCAGUAGUC